GUUGCUCUGAGGGGCGUAACAAAGAUGGUGGAGCAGGCGGAGGGCAGAGGCGUCGGCAAGUUAGCGUGCAGGCGCGUGGCAGCGACAGGAGAUGUGUAGCCAGAGCGCAGAGCAGGUGUGGACUCCGGCGCUGGGGAAGCGUGGCCAGGGCGAGAUUUCAGCCUGGGUCGGGGACAGAAUGGGGACUGAUAGGGGCGUAACCUGGAAUGACGAAAUGACGUUUGCUGCGUAGGGACGUGGCUAAACGUGAGGGGGCGUGGCCAAGAUGGCCGCGUGCGGGAUCCUCGGGUACCGGGAGCGAACGAGGAGGUUCUGGCUCAGUGCAUCCACUCUGGGAGAGCGUGGACCUGGUUCCUGGGGGCGAUCGCCAGUCACCCAUCAACAUUCGGUGGAGGGACAGUGUUUAUGAUCCCGGCUUAAAACCACUGACCAUCUCUUAUGACCCAGCCACCUGCCUCCACGUCUGGAAUAAUGGGUACUCUUUCCUCGUGGAAUUUGAAGAUUCUACAGAUAAAUCAGCUGCACUUAGUGCAUUGGAACGCAGUCAAAUUUGAAAACUUUGAGGAUGCAGCACUGGAAGAAAAUGGUUUGGCUGUGAUAGGAGUAUUUUUAAAGUGGCACUAUCACAACAGAGUGACAUAAUGGUGGGAUAACAUGGACACUUGUCUUCUUCCUUACUGUAAUGGGACUAUUUCUACUCCACAUAAUCUGAUUAUUAAGUUCCUGCAACUUAACUGGGAACUGAUCAAGAUUUCAAGCUAAAGAUGGUGGUGAUGAACAGCCUGAGGGUCAUUCUUCAAGCCUCUCCAGGCAAAUUGCUGUGGAGAAAGUUCCAGAUUCCGAGAUUCAUGCCAGCGAGGCCCUGCAGCCUCUAUACUUGUACUUACAAAACCCGGAACCGAGCCUUGCAUCCACUCUGGGAGAGCGUGGACCUGGUUCCUGGGGGCGAUCGCCAGUCACCCAUCAACAUUCGGUGGAGGGACAGUGUUUAUGAUCCCGGCUUAAAACCACUGACCAUCUCUUAUGACCCAGCCACCUGCCUCCACGUCUGGAAUAAUGGGUACUCUUUCCUCGUGGAAUUUGAAGAUUCUACAGAUAAAUCAGGUGAGGGCAAGAUCUGGUGGUCUUGUAAGGAGUUAAAGAAACAGUGUCAUGUUAACAGAGGACACAUCAAACUCUCUCCAUGAUAGUAUUGACCUCUUUGUGAGCAAUGGCAUGGAACUCAUUGAUCUUAACUUUUUGAAUGUGUGAAAAAAAAUUCCUUCUAGUUUUUAUGCAUAUUUUCUUCAACUAGUAUAGGUAGUAUUUUUAAUUAAUAAAUAUAUCUCUAUCUCUCUAUGUAUAGAUUUAUAAUUGGUAUAGAGCAUAGGUGUGCAAUGGAAGUUUUACCAGAAAUUUAUUUUGUAUGUGUAUAUUGAAUAUGUACUAAUUUUUUUCCUUUGCUUGUUGACUUUAUGAGAACUUUUACAUUAAAUAGUAACAUUGUUUAAUCAGAGUUAACUUAGCAGAUUACAAUACACUUGAAAUGGGGCCAAAAGGAUAUUCAUGUGUGCAUUAGGUUGCAAAGACUAGUCAUGUAUUAGAGAAAUGGAAACUUAUGAUCUGGUAAUUUUGUUAAAUAAACAGUGUUACCUACCUAGUUUAAAAGAAACACAAUUUAAAAGAGUUUUUAAAAUUCAAAUAUUAUAUUGAUUUUGAAUCUUUUUUUUCACCUUCCUGGAUGUAAACUAAUGUGAAUGAUUUCAAAGUUUACCUGAAACUUAUAGUGUCUAUGGAAGACAGAAGGUGGUUAAUUUUGUGAAGGUUUAUUUUCCCUUUUUUUUUGUUUGCUUGUUUGUUUUACUGCAUUUGAUGAUGUCAAAUAGUCCAAAUUAGUCUCAAAAUAAUUAUUAUUUGGAAUAGUUUAAAGUGGUUAUCAACCAGUGGUAAUUCUGCCAACUUUCCCCCAUACCCCUCCAUAUCCCUCACUCCCCGCUGUAGGAUCCGAAGGCGUUUUUCAUUGUCACAACUUGGGAAAUGAAAUUGGCAUCUAGUGUGUCAAAGUCAGGGAUGCCACUAAAGAUCCUGCAGUGCGCCGGAUAUCCUUAACGAAGAGUUGUCUAGCCUGCAGUAUCAAUAGAGCUGAAGCGGAGAAAUCUUGAUCUCAAGGAAACUUGUUUUCUCUCAUGAAUGUUAGGAAAUGAGUCCAUAAAAAUGAUAAUGAGGCCAGGAGCGGUGGCUUAUGCCUGUAAUCUCAGCAUUUUGGGAGGCCGAGGUGGGUGGAUUGCCUGAGCUUAGGAGUUCGAGAUCACCCUGGGCAACAUGGUGAAACCCCAUCUUUACUAAAAUACAAAGCAUUAGCCGGGUGUGGUGGCGCAUGCCUGUAAUCCCAGCUACUCGGGAGGCUGAGGCAGGAGAAUUACUUGAACCUGGGAGGCAGAGGUUGCAGUGAGCCGAGAUCGCGCCACUGCACUCCAGCCUGGCAUCAGAGUGAGACUCUGUCUCAAAAAAAAAAAAAAAAAAAAAAA
rnacentral:lncRNA from 1 species